UACAGAGGUGGCGAGCGUUGUUCGGAUUUACUGGGCGUAAAGGGUGCGUAGGUGGCACCGUGUGUCGGUUGUGAAAUCCCACUGCUCAAUGGUGGAACUGCAAUCGAAACUGCGGAGCUCGAGUGUAUGAGGGGAGAGGGGAAUUCUUGGUGUAGCGGUGAAAUGCGUUGAUAUCAAGAAGAACACCGGUGGCGAAGGCGCCUCUCUGGAAUACUACUGACGCUGAGGCACGAAAGCUAGGGGAGCAAACAGG
rnacentral:rRNA from 1 species